GGAAUACGAAUGGGGGUCAGGAUUGAUUUUUGGAAGGUGGAUUUGUAAGUAAUUAUUUUUAUAGGUUUAAUAGAUGAAGGGUGGAAUAGCAUGUGUACAUAUUGCCCGUCGCUCUCGUUAUUUUUGAGAUAAGUCGUAACAUAGUUGAUGAACUGGAAAGUGUAUCUUUUUGA
rnacentral:rRNA from 1 species